UUGCUUUGGGAGCACAUACACUAAAAUUGGAAAGAUACAGAGGAGAUCAUCAUGGUCCCUGUUCAAAGAUGAUGCAUAAUUUUGCAAAACAUUCCAUAUUAAA